rnacentral:rRNA from 1 species
UGGCGGACGGGUGAGUAACGCGUGGAUAACCUGCCUUGCACUGGGGGAUAACACUUAGAAAUAGGUGCUAAUACCGCAUAAGCGCACGGUUCCGCAUGGAACAGUGUGAAAAACUCCGGUGGUAUACGAUGGAUCCGCGUCUGAUUAGCCAGUUGGCGGGGUAACGGCCCACCAAAGCGACGAUCAGUAGCCGGCCUGAGAGGGUGAACGGCCACAUUGGGACUGAGACACGGCCCAAACUCCUACGGGAGGCAGCAG